CAAAAAAAAGGACUGGCAUUUUAAAAGCCGUGUAGGGAACAAAGCACUAAGGUACAAAAAGAUUGCACAAGAAGUGUCAGAGUCACGAAAUGAGUUCAUGCAGAGGGUAAAGACAAAGCAAGUGCCAGAACAACUAUCCAGUCGGAAGAGGCAAAGACGGUGUGAACAGUGUCCAGGAUGCAUUAGUACAGACUGCAAUCAAUGUAAGUUUUGUUUGGACAAGCCUAAGAAUGGUGGACCAUGCAGGAAUUAAGAAACAGUGCUGCAUCAAACGCAAGUGCAUUCGUACUGCAAAAGCAGAAGCUGAUGUGGCAAAUGUUAUUUCAAGACUAUACACCAUUUUAGUGGUGCAGCUUCAACACCACAACUUGAAGUGCAAGAAAAGGGGAAAGUAUCAGAAAAGGAAUUUUGUGAUGGUUAUUUCAGGUCUUGCCCGGGAUUUGUGAAGCUACCCAAUGCAGAUUUUGCAGAUAUUCCUGUCCCUCCGCAAUAUGUUCCAAGUUCAGGUGGGCUUUACUCAACACAUGAGGUAAUGGUACGGAGUUACAGACGCCAG